AAAACGCGAAAAAGUGUUGUGAUGUGCAGUCUUUGAGAAUGAUGAGUAUUUGAACGCACCUUGCACCAUGCUGUAGCAAUACACGUGGUAUGCCUGUUUGAGCAGGGAAAGGACAUGAACACGUGUACGCGUAUGAGUACGGAGUAUGAGUACGUAGUACGAUGUUCGGAAUGGAGCGUAGGUGAGAGUGCGUAGUGUGUAAAGAUGCAAAUCUCCACACUGCACACACUCACACACACCUUGCUCUGGAAAAUAGCUGGUGGGCGUGAUGAAAGAAUCGAGCUUGCAUUGUUCUUGGGAUAAUCCCAGCAAGAACAGCAACUUUACUUCUCACACACACCCACCCAACACACCACUACAUUAUCCUCUCAAAUCAGGCAAGAUGACCCGCUGAACUUAA
rnacentral:misc_RNA from 1 species